UUAUUAUGUUUAUGUUUAUUCUGUGCUGUGCAGUUUUAAGUGGAAAUAGAAGAUUUCAUUGAGAAAAGGCCUUAUAUUCGACGAAACGUUUCGGUGAAUGAGCUCGAUUGAUGGAACAGUGGUGGGCUGUUUUGAGAUGCGGCGGCAAGCUUUUCGUGAAAGAUUGGCCCAUUUCAACCCCCAAAUUUUGCCGGGAUUACCGUAAUAGCCAUCUUGGCACAGCAAGAUGCAUCAGUUUGGCCAAUAAAAUCAAAUUGGGUGAUCCCCUCCCAACAGCUCCACAGGUGGAGAACGAUGAGGGAAAGAUCCUUUGACCCCUCAAGCCUUCUCCGAUCCUGCCAGUGUGGGUCGGAUCCCCGAAAUAAAUCAAGGUCAUCCAAUCAGCGAUGUUUGCCGUCGGGUUAGUGGGGACAUAUCGAAACUCCCGCACCUCAUCCCAUUAACGGAAACUGCCGACGGAUUGUACUGGAACAAGCAGAGAAAUAAAGUGAUGAUUUUAGAGUAAAU